GGUUCAAUGGCGUAGUGGUUAUCGCAUCUGUCUUACAUUAUCGUUCAGCCACUCUCGAUGUACACAGAAGGUCUCCGGUUCGAUCCCGGGUUGAACCA